UAGCAUAAUAAAUAGUCUCUUAAUUAGAGUCUAGUAUGAAUGGUCGGACAUGAAGUAAGCUGUUUUAAUUUUGAUAUUUGAAUUUUACUUUUAAGUGAAAAGGCUUAAAUUAUAUGGUGGGACGAUAAGACCCUAUAAAGCUUUACGUUUUAUUCUUCAGUUAUGGGACUUAGGGUUUCUUAUUCUUAUUGAAUAAAGUGUUUUGUUGGGGCGACGGAAAUAUAAAUCGGUAACUGUUUUUAUUUAAAAAAUAUGUUUUUAUAGGGGAGUUGAUCCUUAUUUAGAGAUUAUAAGAUUUAAGUUACUUUAGGGAUAACAGCGUAAUUUGUCUUGAGAGUUCAUAUCGACAGAUGUAGUUGCGACCUCGAUGUUGAAUUAAAAUGCCCCCCAGGUGUAGCAGUUUUGGUGGUAGGUCUGUUCGACCUUUAAAA
rnacentral:rRNA from 1 species